UGUCACCAUGGAAGCCUCAUUUAGUUUGCAUCUCACUGAACUUGGGCUUCAUUGCUGCAGCAUGUUGUAGUGAAGUGCAAGGUGGUAACACAACAAGAGAGUGAAAGCCUGGAUGAAGCUUUCGGAGGACACUUGCUAACUUCAUUGCACAGGAGGCCUGUGGAAAUCCUGCAGCUGAGAGAUCUGCAGCUGGACCCAUCAUACUUCACCGUCGGGGCUAUUGAAUUUAAUUAAAGAAAAAUGACCCAGAGACUCUUAGGAAAACUUGAUUCUCUGGAACAAUAUUCACGCAAAAGACUGGCCAAACAUGCAAAGGUUGAAAGCCCAGGGCUUGGGAAAUUGCAGUUAAAGCCAUUUGUGACAACCCCAUUGACAUUUGAAUUUAAAGAAGAUUAUGAUCUACCCAGUGCUAGAACAAUAAAUAUUUCCAGGUCUAAACCUGCACUGCAGUUUUCAGAAGAUGAACAGCUCUUCCGACAUCAGCAAAUAAGUCCUAGCAGGCUUACAUCUGUGACCCCAAGACUGAUGGCUAGAAAGAGUCACUCUGGCAAACCAACUGCAAGGCCAUUUAGUGCUCCAGAUACCUUGCAAGCUAAAGCAUGUCAUCAGAAAGGUUGA
rnacentral:lncRNA from 1 species